GCGGGACUCAAUAUGGCGGCGCGCGCUCGGCCGCUUGACCCCGGUGUCCCCUAAAGCGGGUAAGGGAUGAAACUUUCUCAUCUCGAGUCAUGCUGUUUUCGGAAACGUAGGGAUGCGUUUUAAUUUCUAUGCGCCACCCGUGGGUCGGCCCUCACCUGCGAGUCGGCUGACCGUGAACGACCCUCACUUGCUGUGCACCGGAAGGGCUUGGUCUUCUUGGCCUCUGUUUCCCGGAAGUGGUUUCCCUCCACCUCCUCAGGAGGGCCGGCCUUCCCUAAGGGCGGAGUCUAGGGCUUCUUUGGGACUGAAUAUGCAUUAGCUUUUGGAAGUCCAGCUUUGAUUUUCCCCUAAGCAUUGCUACAAAGGCCGGACUGCGGCUCUGGGCACCGUUCACAUCCUCGGCCGCCUUUGGCUUUGUGACCUUGGGCCGGUUGUAUAAGCUCUCUGAGCUUCCCAGGUGACUUCUCUGCAAAGUGGGCUGGUAACGCCCGAGUUGGUGCUAAAUCCUAAAGUUCAUGCUGCGAACCGGGCCCUCAGCAGAUCAGCCUCUGUUUGGUCUGGUGGCAGGCCCCACGGGCUCCUGAGAGACGUGAGAAGCAGCUUUGUAUGGGAGCCACCUCUGCUCGCGUUUCCACCCAGAAUCAAAGGACUGACUGACCAUUCUUUCAAUCCCUAAGCGGUGUCUUUUCUAUCUAAUCCUAAUAACCAAGCCUGGAGGAAUUGUAGACUUUCUGGUUGAAGGUUCAACAGGUCUCCUCGUUUAAGGAUAGAGUUAAGUCUCAGUGAAGCUACAGAGGAGAAUCUGAAAAAUGCAAAUGUUACUACCUUAACGGAAAGAGGGAGGAGGGGGCGCUUUCCUAAAUGGCCUUUACCUUGGACCUUUUCUUUCUCCUGGCAUUUGGGCUGCCAGGGAUCUUGCUUCUGCCCCACCAACACACUGAAAGCAAGAGCUCUUGACGUGAUGACUAAGGAAAAGAAUUUGGUUUUCAUUUGGAGACAGCUGAUUCUGAAGCCAUCUUAAAGCCUAAGCAUAGCACAACUGCAUUCAUGAUUCUAUGAAUUCUUUCCUACCAUUGGAACUUAGGGAAGGGGAGAGGAAGUGUGCAUCUAGGAAAUGUGGAAGGACAAGCUCUUCGUUCUUUCAUCCUUCCGCUGCCUUCUAACUCUGUGGUCGAGUGUGGUCUUCCCAGGAGAGCAUCUUCCAGGAAACUUAUUAGAAAGGAAGAACCCCAGGCCUCAUUUCACAUCUGAAGCAGAGUCUGCCUUGUAGCCGACUCCUCAGCCAUUGCUAGGCAUGCUAAAGUUGACAAGGCCCUGGUUUAACUCCUGGGGUGGUCUGGUUUAAAGUGAUGAGAUGGCAUCAAAGAUGACGGAAGGACAGAGUCCACAGAGCCAGAAUUUGGGGCAGUGGAGGCAGAGCACCUAUUUCCUGCAUUUGGGCACUGCCAGCAGGUUGAUUCAGAAGAUGGGUGAAAAAUUUGUUCCUGGGGUAGCAGGAGGAGCACCACGACUUUGGAAUCUUUUGCUUAAAAGAAGGAUGAGCUCGGCUGUUCAUACCAUACAUCCCGGAGGUCUUCAGCAAGGUGAGGUUCCUCUGACCAAGAAGCCGGCUGCCCAGAUGCACUAAGCACUAAGCAAUAUGCCUCCCUCGCAUAUUCCGGAUUUGCUGGCUGGCUGAUCUCCAAGCUUGUCCAUCAGCCAGAAAGCAUGUAUUCUGCAAAUCACAACUGGAAAUCAUCCCUGGAGCCAGGCCAGGCUGCCCGUUUCGGAAGAUAAAGUGUGCUCCACGUGGGAAUCACAGCGACAGAAUGGAUGUGUUUUAUUUUUCAUAAUGCUUGAGCCGUAAAUGUGAGCUAACGAGAGAGAGCGCCUGUCAAAUACCUCACAGGUUAGGUGGGUAGUGGACAUGCCAAAUACAGUCCUUUCUCUUCUUCUUGUACCUCUUUUCUCCCUUCACUUUGCAAGUGAAGACGUAACGUGUUAGGGAUGGUUACCUAAAGCUUCUGAAAGGUCGUCAGUACGACACGGGGCGUGUGUGUGUGUGUGUGUGUGUGUGUGUGUGUGUGUGUAUAGGAUUACAGUGUCUAAUGGUACAUUUCCUGGGGACUAAGUUUAAGCUAUGCAAAAUGACAAGAGCAGUCUAAUGAUCACAAUGUAACACGCUGUCAAUUGAAGUGUAACUGCUUACCCUAAUGCCCCGUUGAAAGCUGAUAAGCAACUCUGCUUCGGAUACAAUGUAACGCCUAUCUUAGGACCACCUGAAGUGCAUGAGCAUCAAAGGUGGGAGCAAGGCCGAGGCCUUGAACACGUCCAUGACUCCACCACUGCUAGUAAGUACAUUUCUGAAUCCACCUCCACCAACUCCAUCAGGGCUUUAAACCCCCUUCUGCUGGAGCUUUUCCCCCGAUCUUGUAACUGAGCCGAUGCCUUAUGGGGCUCCUGGGCACACGAGCCUCGCUGUGUCCUCCAUGGCUUGUUUUUAGGAAGGAAGCCUCAGCCUCCAUGACCUCCCCUAAGUUCCAAAGGGCAGGUUUACACAGAUGCAAGUCAGGGAAGGGAGGGGAAGCAGAGACUGGAGAGGAGGAGCCUUCAAGACGCAGUGGUGCAGGAGCGCCCGUCGUGGCUCUGUGGACUCAAAGCUGACUAGCAUCCAUGAGGACGCAGGUUUGAACCUUGGCCUCUCGCAGUGGGUUAAGCAUCUGACGUUGCCAUGAGCUGUGGUGUAGGUUGCAGAUGCAGCUCAAUCUGAUGUUGCUGCAGCUGUGGCGUAGGCCGGCAGCUGCAGCGCCAAUUCAACCCCGAGCCUGGGAGCUUCCAUAUGCUGCAGGGUCAGCCCUAAAAAGC
rnacentral:lncRNA from 1 species